rnacentral:rRNA from 1 species
UACGUAGGGGGCAAGCGUUGUCCGGAUUUAUUGGGCGUAAAGAGCGUGUAGGCGGUUAGGUAGGUCCGCUGUGAAAACUCGAGGCUCAACCUCGAGACGUCGGUGGAAACCAUCUAACUAGAGUCCGGAAGAGGAGAGUGGAAUUCCUGGUGUAGCGGUGAAAUGCGCAGAUAUCAGGAAGAACACCCGUGGCUAAGGCGGCUCUCUAGUACGGUACUGACGCUGAGACGCGAAAGCGUGGGGAGCGAACAGG